UUUAAAAAAUAUCAGUUAUAUUUUUUUCGUAUCGUAGUCCAAUUAAUCAUUGUUCAUAAAACCUCAGUACUGAAAACGGAAUAGAGACA